rnacentral:rRNA from 1 species
UACAGAGGUCUCAAGCGUUGUUCGGAUUCAUUGGGCGUAAAGGGUGCGUAGGCGGCGCGGUAAGUCGGGUGUGAAAAUCUCGGAGCUUAACUCCGAAACUGCAUUCGAUACUGCCGUGCUUGAGGACUGGAGAGGAGAGUGGAAUUCCCGGUGUAGCGGUGAAAUGCGUAGAUAGUCGGGAGGAACACCGGUGGCGAAGGCGGCUCUCUGGACCACUACUGACGCUGAGG